rnacentral:rRNA from 1 species
GGUUAAGUUAGAAAGGGCGCACGGUGGAUGCCUUGACACUAGGAGUCGAUGAAGGACGGGACUAACGCCGAUAUGCUUCGGGGAGCUGUAAGUAAGCUUUGAUCCGAAGAUUUCCGAAUGGGGAAACCCACCAUACGUAAUGGUAUGGUAUCCUUAUCUGAAUACAUAGGGUAAGGAAGACAGACCCAGGGAACUGAAACAUCUAAGUACCUGGAGGAAGAGAAAGCAAAUGCGAUUUCCUGAGUAGCGGCGAGCGAAACGGAACAUAGCCCAAACCAAGAGGCUUGCCUCUUGGGGUUGUAGGACAUUCUAUACGGAGUUACAAAGGAACGAGGUAGACGAAGCGACCUGGAAAGGUCCGUCGUAGAGGGUAACAACCCCGUAGUCGAAACUUCGUUCUCUCUUGAAUGUAUCCUGAGUACGGCGGAACACGUGAAAUUCCGUCGGAAUCUGGGAGGACCAUCUCCCAAGGCUAAAUACUCCCUAGUGAUCGAUAGUGAACCAGUACCGUGAGGGAAAGGUGAAAAGCACCCCGGAAGGGGAGUGAAAGAGAUCCUGAAACCGUGUGCCUACAAAUAGUCAGAGCCCGUUAACGGGUGAUGGCGUGCCUUUUGUAGAAUGAACCGGCGAGUUACGAUCCCGUGCGAGGUUAAGCUGAAGAGGCGGAGCCGCAGCGAAAGCGAGUCUGAAUAGGGCGUUUAGUACGUGGUCGUAGACCCGAAACCAGGUGAUCUACCCAUGUCCAGGGUGAAGUUCAGGUAACACUGAAUGGAGGCCCGAACCCACGCACGUUGAAAAGUGCGGGGAUGAGGUGUGGGUAGCGGAGAAAUUCCAAUCGAACCUGGAGAUAGCUGGUUCUCCCCGAAAUAGCUUUAGGGCUAGCCUUAAGUGUAAGAGUCUUGGAGGUAGAGCACUGAUUGGACUAGGGGUCCUCAUCGGAUUACCGAAUUCAGUCAAACUCCGAAUGCCAAUGACUUAUCCUUAGGAGUCAGACUGCGAGUGAUAAGAUCCGUAGUCAAAAGGGAAACAGCCCAGACCGCCAGCUAAGGUCCCAAAGUGUGUAUUAAGUGGAAAAGGAUGUGGAGUUGCUUAGACAACUAGGAUGUUGGCUUAGAAGCAGCCACCAUUUAAAGAGUGCGUAAUAGCUCACUAGUCGAGUGACUCUGCGCCGAAAAUGUACCGGGGCUAAAUACACCACCGAAGCUGCGGAUUGAUACCAAUGGUAUCAGUGGUAGGGGAGCGUUCUAAGGACAGUGAAGUCAGACCGGAAGGACUGGUGGAGUGCUUAGAAGUGAGAAUGCCGGUAUGAGUAGCGAAAGACGGGUGAGAAUCCCGUCCACCGAAUGCCUAAGGUUUCCUGAGGAAGGCUCGUCCGCUCAGGGUUAGUCAGGACCUAAGCCGAGGCCGACAGGCGUAGGCGAUGGACAACAGGUUGAUAUUCCUGUACCACCUCUUUAUCGUUUGAGCAAUGGAGGGACGCAGAAGGAUAGAAGAAGCGUGCGAUUGGUUGUGCACGUCCAAGCAGUUAGGCUGAUAAGUAGGCAAAUCCGCUUAUCGUAAAGGCUGAGCUGUGAUGGGGAAGCUCCUUAUGGAGCGAAGUCUUUNNNNNNNNNNNNNNNNNNNNNNNNNNNNNNNNNNNNNNNNNNNNNNNNNNNGUAAAGGCUGAGCUGUGAUGGGGAAGCUCCUUAUGGAGCGAAGUCUUUGAUUCCCCGCUGCCAAGAAAAGCUUCUAGCGAGAUAAAAGGUGCCUGUACCGCAAACCGACACAGGUAGGCGAGGAGAGAAUCCUAAGGUGUGCGAGAGAACUCUGGUUAAGGAACUCGGCAAAAUGACCCCGUAACUUCGGGAGAAGGGGUGCUUUCUUAACGGAAAGCCGCAGUGAAUAGGCCCAAGCGACUGUUUAGCAAAAACACAGCUCUCUGCGAAGCCGUAAGGCGAAGUAUAGGGGGUGACACCUGCCCGGUGCUGGAAGGUUAAGGAGAGGGGUUAGCGUAAGCGAAGCUCUGAACUGAAGCCCCAGUAAACGGCGGCCGUAACUAUAACGGUCCUAAGGUAGCGAAAUUCCUUGUCGGGUAAGUUCCGACCCGCACGAAAGGUGUAACGAUUUGGGCACUGUCUCAACCAGAGACUCGGUGAAAUUAUAGUACCUGUGAAGAUGCAGGUUACCCGCGACAGGACGGAAAGACCCCGUGGAGCUUUACUGUAGCCUGAUAUUGAAUUUUGGUACAGUUUGUACAGGAUAGGCGGGAGCCUUUGAAACCGGAGCGCUAGCUUCGGUGGAGGCGCUGGUGGGAUACCGCCCUGACUGUAUUGAAAUUCUAACCUACGGGUCUUAUCGACCCGGGAGACAGUGUCAGGUGGGCAGUUUGACUGGGGCGGUCGCCUCCUAAAGUGUAACGGAGGCGCCCAAAGGUUCCCUCAGAAUGGUUGGAAAUCAUUCGUAGAGUGCAAAGGCAUAAGGGAGCUUGACUGCGAGACCUACAAGUCGAGCAGGGACGAAAGUCGGGCUUAGUGAUCCGGUGGUUCCGCAUGGAAGGGCCAUCGCUCAACGGAUAAAAGCUACCCCGGGGAUAACAGGCUUAUCUCCCCCAAGAGUCCACAUCGACGGGGAGGUUUGGCACCUCGAUGUCGGCUCAUCGCAUCCUGGGGCUGUAGUCGGUCCCAAGGGUUGGGCUGUUCGCCCAUUAAAGCGGUACGCGAGCUGGGUUCAGAACGUCGUGAGACAGUUCGGUCCCUAUCCGUCGUGGGCGUAGGAAAUUUGAGAGGAGCUGUCCUUAGUACGAGAGGACCGGGAUGGACGCACCGCUGGUGUACCAGUUGUUCUGCCAAGGGCAUAGCUGGGUAGCUAUGUGCGGAAGGGAUAAGUGCUGAAAGCAUCUAAGCAUGAAGCCCCCCUCAAGAUGAGAUUUCCCAUAGCGUAAGCUAGUAAGAUCCCUGAAAGAUGAUCAGGUUGAUAGGUUCGAGGUGGAAGCAUGGUGACAUGUGGAGCUGACGAAUACUAAUAGAUCGAGGACUUAACCAU